GAUGAAGAACGUAGCAAAAUGCGAUACUUGGUGUGAAUUGCAGAAUCCCGUGAACCAUCGAGUUUUUGAACGCAAGUUGCGCCCGAAGCCUUUUGGCCGAGGGCACGUCUGCCUGGGCGUCACGCAUCGCGUCGCCCCCCACAAUUCUCCGUAAAGGGAACGUGUGUUUUGGGGGCGGAUAUUGGUCUCCCGUGCUCAUGGCGUGGUUGGCCGAAAUAGGAGUCCUUUCGAUGGACGCACGAACUAGUGGUGGUCGUAAAAACCCUCGUCUUUUGUUUCGUGCUGUUGCUCGCAAGGUAAACUCUUUAAAAACCCAAUGUGUCGUCUCUUGACGACGCUUCGACCGCGACCCCAGGUCAGGCGGGACUACCCGCUGAGUUUAAGCAUAUCAAUAAGCGGAGGA
rnacentral:misc_RNA from 1 species